AGAGUUUGAUCCUGGCUCAGGACUAACGCUGGCGGCGUGCCUAACACAUGCAAGUCGAACGGGGUAGCAAUACCCAGUGGCAGACGGGUGAGUAACACGUGGUCAACCUACCUCCGUGUGGGGGAUAACUAGCCGAAAGGUUAGCUAAUACCGCAUAGAUCGCCGAGGGGCAUCCCUUGGUGAUGAAAGGAGCAAUCCGC
rnacentral:rRNA from 1 species